GUAGUGAGUGCAAUGGAUAGCACUUUGGACUUCUAAUCCAAAGGUUAUGGGUUCAAAUCCCACCUGGAAUG
rnacentral:tRNA from 1 species